rnacentral:rRNA from 1 species
AUGAACGCUGGCGGCGUGCCUAAUACAUGCAAGUCGAACGAGGUGCUUUUGUAGCAAUACGAGAGUAUCCUAGUGGCGAACGGGUGAGUAACGCGUUGGUGACCUACCCCAAAGUGUGGAAUAACAGUCCGAAAGGAUUGCUAAUACCGCAUGUGGUUAUCGGGUUUAGAAACUGAUAACUAAAGGAGCAAUUCGCUUUGGGAGGGACCUGCGUCCCAUCAGCUAGUUGGUGAGGUAAUGGCUCACCAAGGCUACGACGGGUAGGGGACCUGAGAGGGUGACCCCCCACAAUGGAACUGAAACACGGUCCAUACACCUACGGGUGGCAGCAGUAGGGAAUAUUGCACAAUGGGCGAAAGCCUGAUGCAGCAACGCCGCGUGCACGAUGAAGGCCUUCGGGUCGUAAAGUGCUCUUCUGGGAGAUGAGAAAGGACAGUAUCCCAGGAAUAAGUCUCGGCUAACUACGUG